UAGAAAGACUACUUUCAGGGAUUAUUUCUGUAGUUCUUUACUACAGAAGUUUCUCUGACUGUAGAAUAUGGAAACCAUGAGGAAGAGACACAGCGUCCUCUCCUGAGCAUGAAACGGCUCUUGGUGUUUCUUUGCUGCAACUGCCACUUGCCGAUGAUGAUCCUUCCUGCUCUCCUUCAGGGGAACUGGAGGGAGAGGAUGCAGUCUAAGUGGC